rnacentral:rRNA from 1 species
GUUUAUAGCCAUGCCAUAGACAUACAGAACAAGCCCAAUCCCAUCUGAUCUCAGAAGCUAAGCAGGAUGGACCUGGUUAGUACUUGGUGGGAGACCACCUACGAAGACAGUGCUGUAGCCG